AGAGUUUGAUCAUGGCUCAGAAUCAACGCUGGCGGCGUGCCUCAGACAUGCAAGUCGAACGCGAAAGGCUCCUUCGGGGGCCGAGUAGAGUGGCGCACGGGUGAGUAACACGUAGGUAAUCUACCUUUGGGUGGGGAAUAACAGCCGGAAACGGCUGCUAAUACCGCAUAAUGCAGCGGCUCGACAUCGAGACAGUUGUUAAAGCGGGGGAUUCUUCGGAACCUCGCGCCUAAAGAGGAGCCUGCGGCAGAUUAGCUAGUUGGUAAGGUAAUGGCUUACCAAGGCAACGAUCUGUAACCGGCCUGAGAGGGCGGUCGGUCACACUGACACUGACAUACGGGUCAGACUCCUACGGGAGGCAGCAGUCGGGAAUUUUGGGCAAUGGGCGAAAGCCUGACCCAGCAACGCCGCGUGAAGGAUGAAAUCCCUCGGGAUGUAAACUUCGCAAGAAUGGGAAGAAUAAGUAGGGGACAAUACCCCCUAUGAUGACGGUACCAUUUGUAAGCUCCGGCUAACUCCGUGCCAGCAGCCGCGGUAAUACGGGGGGAGCAAGCGUUGUUCGGAUUUACUGGGCGUAAAGGGCGCGUAGGCGGUCGUGACAAGUCACUUGUGAAAUCUCCGGGCUUAACUCGGAACGGUCAAGUGAUACUGUCGGACUAGAGUACAGAAGGGGCAACUGGAAUUCUCGGUGUAGCGGUGAAAUGCGUAGAUAUCGAGAGGAACACCUGCGGCGAAGGCGGGUUGCUGGGCUGAUACUGACGCUGAGGCGCGAAAGCCAGGGGAGCGAACGGGAUUAGAUACCCCUGUAGUCC
rnacentral:rRNA from 1 species